GGUACAGUUUCACCUCAGUCUGGGAAUCCCACUGCAGAUACAGCCUCACAAAAUCCUCAGUCUGGAAAUCCCACUGCAGAUUCCCAACAACAGGGUGCACACGUCGGAAACAUCGGCAAUGUUGGCGGUUCUUUCAACCCUAUCAGUGUUGGUAGUCAAGUCACCUUCACUGUCAAGAACGCUGCGCCGCCACAGAGGGCAGACGCUACUGGACGUGGGGACAAUGCCCCAGAUUCACAGAAUCAUUAGUCUGGAAAUCCCACUUAAGAUUGAAUUCAGCUCUUUGAAAUCAGUUAUUAUAUGGAGCCGAAAGAAGCAAACGCAGGAGAGAUGAGUUUCAAGUACAAUGUAGUUUCAAUCUAAUUCCAGGAUAACAUCCCAAUAUUUUUUUUAUCAAUCACUCUUAGUUUUUAUGCGGGAGCGUAGAAGGGCCCAAACUAAUUAAAAACAAAAUCAUAAUUAGUAUUUCGCCGCCUUUGCCUACUGCCUAGCCGCGGCGACUUACUAUUUCGCCGCGGCGACUUAAUAUCUCGCCGCGGCAAGAAAGAAGGUCGCCAUGGAGAGUUACUUUUUAAGCGAUAGAAACUCGCCGCUGUGAGACAGUAAGAGAUGGUGAGUCUCCGCGGCGAAAUGCCAAUUUAGAUUUUUUUUUUAAAUUGCUUGAGGCCCUUCAACACUACCGCAUUUAAUUUUAAAUUCCAUUGAAAGAUAGAGACGGGCGCUCAAUGUCUUUGACUAAAUAAUAGCUAUUAACAUUCUGAUUAACACAUUGAGGGAUGAUAAUAGAUAAUGCUCACUUCGAAAUAGUUGGAUUUAGUUUGAUUCUUAAAAGUUAGGAGAGCCUUUGCUUUAUUCUUUUUCUGUUAAUCCAUCAAAUGAAAAUCCAUCAAACAUAUAACUGUAUUGCUUUGUUUAACUCUAUCGGACCAUUUGGGUAUAGGGUGCAUGUG